rnacentral:tRNA from 1 species
UUUUGUGUGGCUGAGCGGUUUAUGGCGUUAGAUUGCUAAUCUUUUAAAUCAAGCGAUUUCGUAGGUUCGAAUCCUAUCACUUAAA